ensembl:ncRNA C29H12.9 ncRNA
AGAACGUGACAUUCAAAACAAUUCGUCUUAUUCUUCUGCUUCUCCUUUUUUUUGAAGAAAUGGAACGGAAGAGGAAAGUGAUAAAUUCAAUCAUGUGGGUUUUUUGGAGG